AUACGGGGGGUGCAAGCGUUAAUCGGAAUUACUGGGCGUAAAGCGCGCGUAGGCGGCUUGUUAAGUCGGAUGUGAAAUCCCCGGGCUCAACCUGGGAAUUGCAUUCGAAACUGGCUAGCUAGAGUAUGGUAGAGGGAAGUGGAAUUUCAGGUGUAGCGGUGAAAUGCGUAGAUAUCUGAAGGAACAUCAGUGGCGAAGGCGACUUCCUGGACCAAUACUGACGCUGAGGUGCGAAAGCGUGGGGAGCAAACAGGAUUAGAUACCCCAGUAGUCC
rnacentral:rRNA from 1 species